GCUCCCUGAUGUUAGCGGCGGACGGGUGAGUAACACGUGGGUAACCUGCCUGUAAGACUGGGAUAACUCCGGGAAACCGGGGCUAAUACCGGAUGGUUGUUUGAACCGCAUGGUUCAAACAUAAAAGGUGGCUUCGGCUACCACUUACAGAUGGACCCGCGGCGCAUUAGCUAGUUGGUGAGGUAACGGCUCACCAAGGCAACGAUGCGUAGCCGACCUGAGAGGGUGAUCGGCCACACUGGGACUGAGACACGGCCCAGACUCCUACGGGAGGCAGCAGUAGGGAAUCUUCCGCAAUGGACGAAAGUCUGACGGAGCAACGCCGCGUGAGUGAUGAAGGUUUUCGGAUCGUAAAGCUCUGUUGUUAGGGAAGAACAAGUACCGUUCGAAUAGGGCGGUACCUUGACGGUACCUAACCAGAAAGCCACGGCUAACUACGUGCCAGCAGCCGCGGUAAUACGUAGGUGGCAAGCGUUGUCCGGAAUUAUUGGGCGUAAAGGGCUCGCAGGCGGUUUCUUAAGUCUGAUGUGAAAGCCCCCGGCUCAACCGGGGAGGGUCAUUGGAAACUGGGGAACUUGAGUGCAGAAGAGGAGAGUGGAAUUCCACGUGUAGCGGUGAAAUGCGUAGAGAUGUGGAGGAACACCAGUGGCGAAGGCGACUCUCUGGUCUGUAACUGACGCUGAGGAGCGAAAGCGUGGGGAGCGAACAGGAUUAGAUACCCUGGUAGUCCACGCYGUAAACGAUGAGUGCUAAGUGUUAGGGGGUUUCCGCCCCUUAGUGCUGCAGCUA
rnacentral:rRNA from 1 species